UGGGGAAUAUUGGACAAUGGACCGAGAGUCUGAUCCAGCAAUUCUGUGUGCACGAUGAAGUUUUUCGGAAUGUAAAGUGCUUUCAGUUGGGAAGAAAGAAAUGACGGUACCAACAGAAGAAGUGACGGCUAAAUACGUGCCAGCAGCCGCGGUAAUACGUAUGUCACGAGCGUUAUCCGGAUUUAUUGGGCGUAAAGCGCGUCUAGGUGGUUAUGUAAGUCUGAUGUGAAAAUGCAGGGCUCAACUCUGUAUUGCGUUGGAAACUGUAUAACUAGAGUACUGGAGAGGUAAGCGGAACUACAAGUGUAGAGGUGAAAUUUGUAGAUAUUUGUAGGAAUGCCGAUGGGGAAGCCAGCUUACUGGACAGAUACUGACGCUAAAGCGCGAAAGCGUGGGUAGCAAACAGG
rnacentral:rRNA from 1 species